AGGGGGCUAGCGUUGCUCGGAAUUACUGGGCGUAAAGGGCUCGUAGGCGGCCAACUAAGUCGGAUGUGAAAUCCCCAGGCUCAACUUGGGAACUGCAUCCGAUACUGGAUGGCUUGAAUUCGGGAGAGGGAUGCUGAAUUCCAGGUGUAGCGGUGAAAUGCGUAGAUAUCUGGAGGAAUACCGGUGGCGAAGGCGGCAUCCUGGACCGACAUUGACGCUGAGGAGCGAAAGCUAGGGGAGCAAACGGG
rnacentral:rRNA from 1 species